CCCCCCUUCCCCCAAAAUAGUAGCAAACACACAAACCUUGAAGAAACGAGAACUAGAGAGGAAGAGAUCAGAGAAGAGGAGAGGGGAAGAGGAAGGACGGCGCUGGUGGGCAUCACUGCCGCCAUGCCGUCGUGUUGCCGUUGAAGGAGAGGAAGCCGCGAACCAUAGCCACAGGACAGAGGAGAGAGCGCGCGCGCAGGGAAGGAAGGAACCGCCUAGCUCGCUGCCGUCGCGCUACUCGGGACUGUCGCACUGCCGUCGCGAGGACGAGGGGAGACCGUUGCUGCUGUCUGUGAAGACACCUCCACUGCGAAUCAGAGCUGAGGCGAGAGAGAGAGGGCUGCGAAGGAGGGAAUCGCACUGCCCAGUCGCCGCCUGUGCUGCCAGAUCCGUCGCGCUCUGCUACCACGAGGUCGCCGCCGUCGCCGCUUUGAAGGGAGCCACAGUGUCGCCAUUAAGCCGCGUCGGAGGGGGAGUGCCAUCGCCGUGCCUCCAUUGUCACCGAAGACGCCAGUUGUUGCUGCUGCUUGUUAGAGAGGAGCGCAGGAAGCGGUGCUGUGAAUAGGGUUGUUUUCUGCCACCAUUGGAGUCCCGCUGUCGUUGAUGCCAUGGCCGCUGCACCUCUGGCCGCUGAGAACAGUUCUGCGACUUCCGGGACCACCGCCAAAGCUUCUGGCUACUGCUGCCGUCGCCGGAAAAGGUUGCCGUUGAUCCACCAGAGCUUCUGGCCACCGCCGGAGCUGCUGUCGGGCCGGUUCAAAAUCGCAGCUGCUUCGUGUUGAAAUUCCGAGCUGUUUAUGCUGCUGCGAAAAUGUGUGGGGCUGUGCUUUGAAGCUGCCUUUGAUUUCGAGUUGAGGUGAAAAGAACUUAUGAGGCGUGUGGAUUAUGGAUUUGCGUUUUGAGGUAGUGGCGCUUUCCAAGACAAUACUUUAUGUAUUGGAAUUAUUACAUAUGGAUACUGAUGUGAGAAAAUGUGUAUUUGGUGAUUGUAUCGGCCUUAUGUAUUAUUUGAUUGUCUCGAAAGCUUAUGAAUGUUUGUUUGGCUGAACUGUUGUGCAGCUUUGUGAAAUGUAAUGUUUUAAGGUUGAUUCUUUAAAGAUUUGAAAUAUGAUUGAGGAUUGGUUUGAAUUGAG